CCAGCUGCGGCCACACCUUCUGCGAGGAAUGCCUUAGGACGGAGAACCGCAAGAGUGUGUUCCAGUGCCCUUCUUGCCGGCAGGACCGCGACCAGUUCUGGACGCUGAAGCCUAACUUCGCGCUGCUCGACCUGCUCGAAGCGCUCCAGACAAGCGAGUAAGAGGCAGCAGAUUAUUAUGAUACAGAGUAAACGCGCUGCAGCAUCAUGAAGGAGAAUUGAAGCCCUAAACACAAACACACACAAUGUUUGUGGAAACCUCACGUUGGCAGUGUGAUUAU